GCAGCCAUCAUUUAAAGAAAGCGUAAUAGCUCACUGGUCGAGUCGGCCUGCGCGGAAGAUGUAACGGGGCUAAACCAUGCACCGAAGCUGCGGCAGCGACACUGUGUGUUGUUGGGUAGGGGAGCGUUCUGUAAGCCUGUGAAGGUGUGUCGUGAGGCAUGCUGGAGGUAUCAGAAGUGCGAAUGCUGACAUAAGUAACGAUAAAGCGG
rnacentral:rRNA from 1 species